rnacentral:rRNA from 1 species
CCAGACUCCUACGGGAGGCAGCAGUGAGGAAUAUUGGUCAAUGGGCGGAAGCCUGAACCAGCCAAGUCGCGUGAGGGAUGACGGCCCUACGGGUUGUAAACCUCUUUUGCCGGGGAGCAAAGAGCGGGACGCGUCCCGCCUCGAGAGUACCCGGAGAAAAAGCUCCGGCUAACUACGUGCCAGCAGCCGCGGUAAUACGUAGGGAGCAAGCGUUGUCCGGAAUUACUGGGCGUAAAGGGCGCGUAGGUGGGCGCUUAAGUCAGGUGUGAAAACUCCGGGCUCAACCUGGAGACUGCACUUGAAACUGGGUGUCUUGAGGGCAGGAGAGGAAAGUGGAAUUCCUAGUGUAGCGGUGAAAUGCGUAGAUAUUAGGAGGAACACCAGUGGCGAAGGCGACUUUCUGGACUGUACCUGACGCUGAGGCGCGAAAGCGUGGGUAGCGAACGGGAUUAGAUACCCCAGUA